GUUUCAAUUCCUCAUAGGCAGGCUAUCGGCUUCAGGAUGCUGUGGAACGUAAGAAUGCCAGUUUGGG
rnacentral:sRNA from 1 species